GACAGAGGUCCCAAGCGUUAGGCGGAAUCACUGGGCUUAAAGCGUGUGUAGGCGGAUGUGCAAGUACCUUGUGAAAUCCCACGGCUUAACCGUGGAACUGCUUGGUAUACUGCUCGUCUUGAGGCAUCUAGAGGUAACUGGAACAAACGGUGGAGCGGUGAAAUGCGUAGAUAUCGGGAAGAACACCCGUGGCUAAGGCGGCUCUCUAGUACGGUACUGACGCUGAGACGCGAAAGCGUGGGGAGCGAACAGG
rnacentral:rRNA from 1 species